ACUUUUUCAACUGGGUGGAAACCAAGUACAUGACCCUCUGGAACACCAUCAUGAAUAUUGAAAAAUUUGAUGUUAUUUGGGAUGUUUGGUUUUGUAAAAAGAGGUUGAUUAGAUUGUUGGGUGCCAAUGAAUGAGAAAAAUGUGUUUGGGGAAGCAUGUGCUAGUUUGAGGAACCAUCAUGAAUAUUGAAAAAUUUGAUGUUAUUUGGGAUGUUUGGUUUUGUAAAAAGAGGUUGAUUAGAUUGUUGGGUGCCAAUGAAUGAGAAAAAUGUGUUUGGGGAAGCAUGUGCUAGUUUGAGGAUAAGGUUUAAGAGUGGAAUUGGAUGGCUACCAAAGGG
rnacentral:lncRNA from 1 species